rnacentral:other from 1 species
CGUUCUCUACUGUUCCUGCGUGCCCUGGUAUAUUCUUGAGCCGAUAUAAAAUACCUGGGGGCAAAAUUCUGGUGUUGUGAGCAUGUCCGCUAGUCCGGAAAGCCUAAUGCACUGGUCGCCGCUCCCACUUGAACCCAUGGGUUCAAGGAGAACAGGGUCCGUGUUUUACGGUGGAGGACGC